GUCUUUUCUUCGUGCCCUAUUCUUCUUCCACGCCGAAACCCCUCUUCCUCUUCUUCGUUGAGCUCGCGACACCAACCUUUCUUCUUCUUUUUCCCACUGAGCCCAAACUUCUCUCCCAUUUCACUCUCACGCCGUCGCUACCAUCUACUCCCGAGCCUUCACCUCCUCGCGAUCUCUCACCCGUGCCCUAAUUUUUCCUUCCGAUCUUCUGUCGCAUCGACGCCGCCGCACGAAGCAGCGCCGACGUCGUACAACUGACGCCUCACCGAAGCUUCCUCUCCCCUACUGACGUCUCAUUGUCGCUGAGGUCCUCACCGCGUCGAUCACCACAGAGAGCACCGUCGGCACCAGCCUCACGUCUUUGCCCUAGAGCGUCGUCACCUCCUUUCUGCCCUUUUCUAAUCUUGAGCUUUUGUGCCAGCACAGAUCCAUCAUCGUGUACCCUAGCAACACUGUUUCCACCCGAGGGCAAGGUUUUCUUCAACUCAGUUGAAGGGACUUUGUGGCGUCAUCGAUCACCGGUGUCGACCAAGGCGUAAUUGUUGGAUGCCACCCAUCAAGCCACGAGAUGGAAUAGGAGUUGCAGGUUUAAUCAGUAGCAUUACUGCUCUGUUGAUUCGGGUUGGCAAGUGUUGAGUUGGAGAUUCUAAUUCCAGACGAGCAUCUCAAUGUCGGUUUGGUUGACACGAUCUACAUUUUGGGGCGGAUAUAGGGUAGAUACUUGUGGAGUCACUUGGAGUAUCUUGUCUGCCGGUCCUACGUCACAUCCGAAGACCGCUUAGAGUUUCAUUUACUCUUUACUUAUAUUUGGUAUUUGGUGUUUUUGGUGUUGUUAUUGUAUUUGUGUUUUGUGGUUGUUGUCUAAAGCCUAUCCGGCUAGCAGUUGUUUUUAGUUUGUAUGGUUUUUCUUUAUCGAUUUUUCGCGGUGUUGGUUUUUAGUAUAGCCGAGUGAGCUGUUAAAUAUAUAUAUAUAGCUGUGUGGUUGUGUUUA